GAGCUACUUUCUAGCGGUUGGCUCGCGCCACCUGGGGAUUUACCCGGGUCGGAAAGCCCAAGCGUCUGCGAACCCCUGCGCCCGCACGUGCGCCCAGCGCUAGGGGCCCGGGACGCGGCUGUGUCGCCCUGGCUUUAAAUCGGGAAAUUCCCUUCGUGUGUCCUCGAGCUUGGGUCCCCUUUUCCCCAGAAUCAGCUUCCACGUUGGCCGGGGGUUGGGGAGUGAGUGGGGAGCGGUGGCUGGAGUCCGCAGCCCGGGAGCUGGUGACGCCCCGGAAUCCCCGCUUCCUGGUCCUUCCCAUCCAGGGGAGGCUGGCGGGGAGGGCCUAGUGACCCAUUUCAGUUUUCCGUUUGGUGACGAGCCGGAAGGGGACAGAAGAUUAAAGCGGCGGAAAACCGUUUUUUAAAAUCUCCCAGCGGAAACGCAAGGCGGUGCCGAGCCACCCGGCAACCCCGGAUGGGACCUCCGUGCGCCCCUCGCCGCGUCCCGCCGGAUAGCAGCGGAGACCCGGCCCGCGCCGCGCGGGGGUCGCGAGGCUGCAGACGCGCAGCGGGGACCCAGCGGUUUUUUCCACGACGUUGGGGGUGGGGUGGGGACGGAGCUGGCGUGGGAGCCGCGGCAUCAGAAGUGGCUGCGCUGUGGCCAAGUUUGGGAGGGGCGUCCGGCUUCAUUCUAAGACUCGGAUGAGAAAUGACCUCCGAACUCGGUCCAGGUGACCCCAACACCCGUUGCAAUUAAAAAUUAACGUGAAGGUGGAAAACUGACCUUCCUGAAGAGAAAUAAAUACCCGCUGUGGACAAGGCCAGAGGACAUCUAGCAACUUCUAAAGGCCUACGGUCAUCCGAAUCACCUGGCCUGGUCUUCCCGGCUCUGCCAGAAUCACCAAUGUCCAGUUUCUGGGAGUGCUGCCAGAAAAUGUGUGUGUGUAACAAGUCCCAGCCGGUUCUGAUGGCGGCAGAGCCUGAACACACCUGUGAUGGAUUGAGCCUGAGCCAGGGGUGCAGGGAGAACGCUGGGUGUCUGUCCUUCACUCUCCCAGAGCCGGAGAGCCGAACCAGGCUCUGAGCAUCUCCUCCAGAGGUGCCCGAGGCCCAGGACUUGUGCCCUAGGAUCGCCCUUCCCUUUCUAGAGCAUUCUACACUUUGAACAGUUGGUGCGCACGGAAUUUUAUUUUAGCCCCAAAGCCUUCAUCUUCUUAUAAAAUUGGUAUUUUCGUAAUUUAGAUGGUUGGCCAUUUGGCGUGGGAUUGUCUGUAAUGUAGAAAACAGUAGAUACAAAGUUAGACUCUGAACAAGUCAGUAAAUGAGACAAAUGGACGCUGGAUUUCCUAGUGCUGUUACGGUGGUGAAGACAGAUACCCAUUUCCACAGAAAUGUGUUCAGGGUACAUUCCUAGACGAAGAGGGUCAGAAGUACCGUGGGCCUGUGCGUGUGCACACGUGCGUGCAGAUAGAUGCCAAUAAAUCUAGACAUUUUAAUUUCUUUUCUUCCACUUAA